AUUGAACGCUGGCGGCAGGCCUAACACAUGCAAGUCGAACGAGUGGCGGACGGGUGAGUAAUGUCUGGGAAACUGCCUGAUGGCGGGGGAUAACUACUGGAAACGGUACCUAAUACCGCAUACCAUCGGAUGUGCCCAGAUGGGUUUAGCUUGUAGGUGGGGUAACGGCUCACCAAGGCGACGAUCCCUAGCUGGUCUGAGAGGAGGAACAGCUACACUGGAACUGAGACAUGGGAAAGACGCCUACGGGAGGUAGCAGUGGGGAAUAUUGCACAAUGGGCGCAAGCCUGAUGCAGCCAUGCCGCGUGGAGGAAGAAGGCCUUCGGGUUGUAAAGUACGUUCAGCGGGGGGGAGUUACCCGCAGAAGAAGCACCGGCGAACUACGUGCCAGCAGCCGCGGUAAUAC
rnacentral:rRNA from 1 species